AGGAACAUGUCUCAGAAAUUCACGAGCUACCUUACUAGCUAACUGUGCCUACAACUCAAACCUUCAUUCUUCCAAUCUGUUGGUCUCUCCUACUAGCCAACACUUACUACUAUCCAGCUUUUCCUACGACUGAAGGGUACCUUAGGGUUUAAAGGGUUUCAACCUUGCCCAUCAAAUCCUUCAUUCAAUAUCAAAUCACCUUCACCACAUCAUUCAUUGAUCACCAAUAAAGAUUGCAUAUCCUAAGCAUCUCACAUCUCAUACUAAUAUGAAUUACGGGCUGCUCUGUGAGCAAGAGCCCGUGCUGGCACAAGGCCAGCUUAAUCUUAAACAACAACAACAACAUUCCUCGACACACAACGCUACAGAAGCGAAGAAGCAGCCAGAAGUCAAUUCGCAGCAGUAAUCAUGUUCGCAAGCAAAACUAUUGUCCUCGUUGUUGCCAUGCUGGCGCUAGUAUACGUGGCCGCUGCUUAUCCCAGUUUCGGAUACGGGUCAUACGGCCAUGGAUACGGACACGGCCACCAUUCAUCUUACGGACACGGUUCUUACGGAUACGGACAUUCUGGAUUUGGGCCAGUCUACAACCAGUACUCAUCCCACCACAAGGGACACUAUCACGGAUAGACUGAAUCGAUCUCCUGCUGGGAUGGUGCCUAAUUUCUGAACCACAUUUCCACCUGCUUUCCCUCUCAUUUCCACUUCAGAAAUGAAGAACAUCAGGACAUGAAACGAUGAAGAUUAUUUUCUUUUUAUAUUUUGAACUUUAAUUUAAAAUUUCUAGAAAAAAAUGUCUAUUUAUAUUGCGGAUUU